rnacentral:pre_miRNA from 1 species
UUAGCUCAUAUUUGUAUGGAACGGGAUCGUUUGCAUACGUUUGCCGCUAGGGACGCUGUUCCAACUGCAUACAAAAUUGGGUUA